CCAAUCCGUCCAGUAGUUUUUGCGUGAAGGAGUAACAAACAUACACACACACACACACACAUACAAACUUUCGGCUUUAUAAUAUUAGUGUGAUAUAACGCUGUCUCGUUUUAACAGUCCUUCGAAAAAGAAUUUAGAAGAAACUUAAGUUUGAGCUAUGUCAAAGUGAUAGAGUAGGUAUAGACCUCAGCCUGAGACGCUGAUAGGCACUGGUAGAUAGCUAACGCAUAGUGCAUUCGUACGUACGACAGGUUGUACCUAUAUACGAUGGACGUCAACAUAGGAGGAAUUAGGACUUGAGCGCAACGCACACCGGCAGAGCCAAGAUGCACCGUCUUUCUUGAUAUCAAUUUAAAGUUUUAUUUACUUUGACAUAACGAGGGAGCGAACGCUAAGUCCAAGCGUGUUCGAGCGUGGCACACGUUUGUGUACUGUAGCUACAUAAACCUACCUACUAACGGAUUGUCAAAGAAAUUAAAAGCUAAGUUGUUAUCAAAUAGACUCGACUCUAUGCCUGUUUGCGCUGUCCCUUAUGAAAAUAAUUACUCGUGAUUUAAUGUAUAAAUUAAAAAGCACAUAUUAAAUAUUACUAAAAAAAUAUAUUUUACAAAAUAUAAUCAAAUUAUCUACAUUAUUGACUUGUGCGAUGAUAAUGGUAAAUAUAUCACAUCACAAUAAACCUAUAAGCAAUCGACUCCUCGUUAUAAAAACGUUUGUUAACGAGGAAUCGUUUGAAUCAUAUGAACAGAGUUAAAUAAAAUUAAUAUAUGUGAUCUCUGCCUCAUACUGAAUACAUGAGCAAUUUCAUUACGUAAGUUUGUAUUCUACAUUUUCUAUAAUAAA